UCAAUCCCAUCCCAAUCAAUCCAAAUCAAUCCCAAUCCCAAUUCCAAUCCCAAUCAAUCCCAUCCCAUUCCCAAUUCCAAUCCCAAUCAAUCCUAUUCCAAAUCAAUCCCAAUCCCAUCCCAAUCCCAUUCCCAUUCCCAAUUCCAAUCCCAAUCAAUCCAAAUCAAUCCCAUCCCAAUCAAUCCCAAUCCCAAUCCCAAUUCCAAUCCCAUUCCCAAUUCCAAUCCCAUUCCCAAUCCCAAUCAAUCCCAAUCCCAUUCCCAAUUCCAAUCCCAAUCGAUCCCAAUCGAUCCCAAUCGAUCCCCAUCAAUCCCCAUCGAUCCCAAUCAAUCCAAAUCAAUUGAAAUCAAUCCAAAACAAUCCAAAUCAAUCCCAAUCGAUCCCAAUCGAUCCCAAUCGAUCCCCAUCAAUCCCCAUCGAUCCCAAUCAAUCCAAAUCAAUUGAAAUCAAUCCCAAUCAAUCCAAAUCAAUCCCAAUCGAUCCCAAUCGAUCCCAAUCGAUCCCAAUCAAUCCAAAUCGAUCCAAAUCAAUCCAAAUCGAUCCAAAUCUAUCCAAAUCAACCCCUCCACUCACGGUCUCCUCUCCCUGCGGCCGCUGGGCCCGUCCCUGGCGGGGUCCCCAAUCCCAAUCACUCCCAAUCAAUCCCAAUCGAUCCAAAUCAAACCAAAUCAAUCCCAAUCAACCCCAAUCAAUCCCAAUCAAUCCCUCCACUCACGGUCUCCUCUCCCUGCGGCCGCUGGGCCCGUCCCUGGCGGGGUCCUGGGCGAUGCUCAGCGCGUCCUGGAUCGCGGCCAGGAGCCCGCUGCCGCCCUCGCCCCGCAGCGCCGGCCCGAAGCACUCGGGACGCCGGAUCAGCAGCCGAACCACCACGUUGGCGUUCUCCUCCACGCUCUCCCCUGCAGGAACCGCGCCCCAAAAGUCACAGGGGCACCCCAAAACACCCAGAACCCCAACACACAAAAUCCCCAAACCAGGGAACCCUAAAACCCCAAAUCAGGGAACCCUAAAAACCCCAGCACAGGGAACCCCGGAUCAGCAGCCGAACCACCACGUUGGCGUUCUCCUCCACGCUCUCCCCUGUGGGAACCGCGCCCCAAAAGUCACCCCAGAACCCCCAGAACCCCAAAACCCCAAAUCAGGGAACCCUAAAUCCCCCAGGGAACCCCGGAUCAGCAGCUGAACCACCACGUUGGUGUUUUCCUCCACGCUCUCCCCUGCGGGAACCGCACCCCAAAAGUCACAGGGGCACCCCAAAAC
rnacentral:lncRNA from 1 species